GUCUUGUAUUCUUAUUUAUGCACAGUUACCACUACUGGAAAUAGAGGCUAUGGCAACUAUUUUUUUGCGACGGUUACAUAACUGUAGCUAUAUAAAACCUACGAUGACGGCUAUAACCGUAGCAUAACAUGGUACCACACUUGAAGAGUAUCAUAGAAUUGAUCUACAAAUGAGGUUAUGGUAAGGUAGCCAAUCAGAUAAUUGUCUUGAUUGACAAUGUUGUCAUUGAGCAGGUUGGUGCGCACCUGCUAUCUACUCUGCCUUUGUUUGGUAUUUUUGUCCUUUUUUUAAUAAUCUUGUAUCCUGUACUAUCACUGAAGGCCAUGCCUAGCAGUUCAGUAGCCAGCAACUAAUGUUGCCUUUAUUUUUCUUAAUUUAGUUUAUAGUUAUUAGCUAGGAUGUUCAUUGUUUCAUUGUCAAUCUGUUUAGUGGUUAAUUCUCAAAAGGAAAAUGUAGAUGUUUCUAUAUUUGCUAGUCUACCAGAGACGAAAAAAAAUGGUAAAACGCGGAACUUCAUUACCAGGGGAAAUACAUAUGAUGAAUUAUAUCAUACAUAAUUAUUUCUAGUGCAUUUCUCUACAGAGCUUGAUAUUUAUAUGCAAAAGCAAUUCAAUAUCAUCCAUGCCUACCUUCCCGUCACCCACUAGAGAUCUGGUACUAGUAAACUCCAUGAGAUCUUACCUUCAAGCUAUUAAAACUCAUGUGAAGAAUACAGACGGAUUUGCUAAAGCCUUCAUCUUGAAAUUUUAGGCAAUAUGUUGCCUCCUAUGUAUAUCAAUUCAGUGGCUACAGGAACUCCAUUUAGGGGAAUUGUGUAGAUAUGCAUCACCUCGACAUUAUUGCAGUAUAUUUGAACUUUCACUAUUUCUAUUGCUAACUCAGAUCCUUUUGUUCCUCGUACAAUUUGGUAUCGGAUACCAUUAAUAGAAAUUCAUCAGAUUUGAUGGUUUAGAACCUGCAUAUAUUCACUUGUAGUGUUAUUUACAAUUCACUUGUAGUGCAACCAGAAAUUUAUCCAACUUUUAUUUACUCCUAUAUUGCAUACAUCCUCUUUUAGUUUUCACUCUAAAGCUAUAUAUCUGAUGCCACAGGUAUCAAGUAUGAACGAGAAUGAGUCUCAGCCCUCCUUAUACUCCUCAUCCUUGAUUCUUCUAUCCUAUGUCAAACCACAUAAUAGCACAUAGAGCCAAUAGUAGUGAGUAUUAUGGUGCUACCAAUUUUAGUUGCAUAGAUGGCAAGCCCUCUUUCCUUGUCUCUAACCACCACAUAAGUAAGUGAAAUAAAGAAAACUAACAUGGAGAGGCAGGCGGCCCACAUAAGCUUGAUUAUCCAAAACAUGAGUUGUUUUUUUGCCUUCUAUUCAAUCACAACCACAAAAGUUUGUACCACCACAAUAGCAAUGGAAAUAAACAAGGUCAUACUAUCAAACAAGAAGAAUAUUAUGAAAGAUGCUUUCUUGUCUAUGCGUGCUUUACCAAGCAAAACCCCAUCUGUCUUCUCCUCAACAUAUUGGCCAAGUACAGUGAAAAUGGUAGCAAAAUCUACAGUACUUGAUCUGGCGAUAUUCAUUGACAUCGUACAUUAUUAGUUCGGAUAUUAAUAGUUUAUUGAUAUUCUGUUGCCAUACCUAAACCAAGGUUUGUGUUUGGGCUAGGCAAUUACCGAUGUUCGCACUUAUUCUAUGAAUGUGUGUAUCAAUAACUUAUUAGACAUUCACGUCUGGUGAAGUCUAUCAAAGGCAUAAAGUGAUAAAAAAGCUGAGGUCUUUUUGCUGCAAUAUGAAUAUCAAAGAUUAUUGAACUGAUUAUAAGUGUUUUAUGUUUGGACUUAUAAAUAGUUAUUUGAACGCUAUAUAAAUCAUCUAUAUGAAUAGUUGUUUGAACACAUAUUUGUUUUGUAAUAAUCAGGUUGUUCAUCUUAAUUUUAUGCAGGUUUAGAUAAAAAUGAAUCAAUAAGGGCCUUCAAAAAAUAACAAAAGAGCAAACACCAAGGCAUUUACUAAACUUGGAUCAUUCAACCAUGGAAAAUAUAAAAUGAUGAUUAUUGACAACAAAUGAAACUGUUAAAGCUAUAAGAUUAGAGAAAGAGAAUCUUCUAAAAUUAUUUAGAGAACAACAGCCACAAGUACAACAACUACCAAUACAACAACCACCAUCUCAAGAGAUUGAACAAUCUGUAGUGGAGCAUAAUAUUGUAGAGGAGCAACAUGUAGAUAAUGGGAAACAUGUAGAGGAUCAAGUCCAUAUAGCUGAUUCAGCCACUCUGAUAAUAACUUAACAUUCUGAAGAACAAGGUAACAUAUAGCUUAGAAACUUAUUGAAUUCAUUCAUGACGUUUAAUUUUUUUCUAUUUUAUAAUAGUUGAAGGGCCUUCCACUAAAAAACAAGAGAAAAACACAAAUGCACAAGUUACAUGGCAGACAAGAGGAAAAACUAAUCAUACUAAAUUGACAAAAUCAACCUGUUGGUCCUACUAAUAAAGUUGUAACUGAGUUAAGCAGCUUCCUUAGAACAUUGGCAAAGAAUGUGACCCUUUGUCCAUUGGGAUAUUUGAUUGGAGGCUGAUGGAUACUAAAAAGGAUUUAUGGGAUUAUACUCAGGAAAAGGAGAAGGGGGAACUUUGUUGUUGACGAAAAUAUUUGCGGUCACAAGAGCAAGAAAGCCUGGUCGUACAUACAAGACGGCAAAUGAAAGUACCACUAGUAAAAUUGUAUUAAACUUAUCUAUUUUAAGUUUAUAUUGACAUCCAGUUUUUAAUUUAUAAUUACUUGAAUGUGCUUUUGAAUAUGAUUUAUUAGGCUGAAAUGGAGGAAAUUGAAAUGCAACUGGGUGCAAAUGAUUAGUCUGUUGAUACAUUUUCAGCAAUUAUGGGUCCUGAACAUUCGGGACGUCUAAGACUAUAUGGAAUCGGGGUUACAAAAACUUUUUUGAAAAAAUAAAUGGCACUUAUGAACAAACUUUAAAUGCCACCAAUGAAUCAUGUAACAAAUGCAAGUAAGGAUGCAAAAAUUAGAGGACCAAUCAAGGAACCAAAGAGAACCAUUCGACAAGAAGUUAUUGCAUAUGUAAUUGCUCAACUUUAGAAUGCAGGAUUAAUUAAUCCUAAGACACUAGAGACAUUGUCCAUUCCUUCUCCAAGAGAAUCUACCUCUACACUUACAGUUAUAGGGAGAAACAGUCAAAACAGUCAAGGUUAGUGUUUGACAUUCUGAAUUGUACUCCAGUUCAUUUAGUGGCUGAUAUUAUUGUUGUUGUUAUUGUUAUAAUGUAUUGGAUGGUUAUUGAUGGCUGGUAACUUCAUAUUAUAUAUCAUGGUAUUGUUGUUUAUUAUUUGAAAUUCUGGAUAGUUAUUGGUAGCUGGUAACUGUGUAUUAUUUAUCAUGGUAUUUUGUUUAUUAUUUGAAAUUCUGGAUGGUUAUUGUUGGCUGGUAACUAGUAUUAUACUGUUGGCAACAAUGUUUGAAUUCUAAAUUUGUUCAAAGUAAGUCUCUAGCAUUGUUUGAUUUGAUAUACCACAGAAGGUUAAAUUUGAUAAGAUAUCAUGUAGAUGUCUAGUCAAUGUUUCCAAUAUUGCCUAUUGAUUACCUAUUUGAUGAGAUUUCAUGUAGAAGUCUAGUCUUAACUUUGUGAUGGUGCCUACUGAUUCUCUAUUUGAAUAUUAGUCUUUGGUUGUAUAAGUUCAUUAUUUUACUUAUUAUAUGUUCAUCCGGAAGGAGACUCUCCUCUUUCCUGUUAUAUGAAUUAUGACCCGAGGGCCCUCCUGCAUUAUUAUCCUUCGUUCUUAGGGGUGGUUUUUGGUUUUGUUCAAACAGAUACUCACACUAUACUAUAGUACUUGUUGGAAAGAAAAAAUUGAAGUUUAGUGGAGCAAACUGGCACUACUAUGCAGUCUAUACAUCCCUGUUGUAAGCUUAGUUCUAAAAUAUGCAUGAGUUGUUGCAUUCUACUUUGCUUAGCCAAACGGCAUGUAGAACACAAUUUGAUGAGAUAUCAUGUAGAUGCCUAGUCAAAGUUUCCAAUAUUGCCUAUUGAUUACCUAUUUGAUGAGAUUUCAUGUAGAAGUCUAGUCUUAACUUUGUGAUGGUGCCUACUGAUUCUCUAUUUGAAUAUUAGUCUUUGGUUGUAUAAGUUCAUUAUUUUACUUAUUAUAUGUUCAUCCGGAAGGAGACUCUCCUCUUUCCUGUUAUAUGAAUUAUGACCCGAGGGCCCUCCUGCAUUAUUAUCCUUCGUUCUUAGGGGUGGUUAUUGGUUUUGUUCAAACAGAUACUCACACUAUACUAUAGUACUUGUUGGAAAGAAAAAAUUGAAGUUUAGUGGAGCAAACUGGCACUACUAUGCAGUCUAUACAUCCCUGUUGUAAGCUUAGUUCUAAAAUAUGCAUGAGUUGUUGCAUUCUACUUUGCUUAGCCAAACGGCAUGUAGAACACAAUUUGAUGAGAUAUCAUGUAGAUGCCUAGUCAAAGUUUCCAAUAUUGCCUAUUUGAUGAGAUUUCAUGUAGAAGUCUAGUCUUAACUUUGUGAUGGUGCCUACUGAUUCUCUAUUUGAAUAUUAGUCUUUGGUUGUAUAAGUUCAUUAUUUUACUUAUUAUAUGUUCAUCCGGAAGGAGGCUCUCCUCUUUCUUGUUAUAUGAAUUAUUACCUGAAGGCCCUCCUAUAUUAUUAUCCCUCAUUCUUAGGGGUGGUUAGUGGUUUUGUGUAAAUAGAUACCCACUCUAUACUGUAGUACUUGUUGGGAAGCAAAAAUUGAAGUUUAGUGGACCAAACUAGCACUACUAUGCAGUCUGUAGAUCCUUGUUGUAAGCUUAGUUUUGAAAUUUCCAGAGCAUGUAGAGCAGUCUUGAGUUGCAAUAUUCUUUGCAUUUUUAUGGAAAACUCAAAUUUAUGCAUGACCUUUCCUAAUUGAGGCUCGAUACUUAUGUAUUUUUAUGGAACACAUCUUUGUUUUUAUCUCAACUAUUGCUUCAGAAGUUAGAAGUUAGUAUACUUGAUCUUUUCCAACUUUGGUUGGGGUAUAUACUAAGUAUACUUGAUCUCAAUACUGGGGUAUAUACUAAUUUUGAUGGCAGCAUAGCACCUAAGAACUACACACAAGUGUAGUGCAUAUAAUACAGUAGUAUCACAAGGUUGGCCAUAUAAAUUGUUGGAUCACACUUUCAUUAAAUUCAACCAAUUAAUAGAGAACAACUCAAGAUAAAGCUGAUUGUGUCCUUCAUGUUAAAAAUAGUACUACUUAUAUUGCACCAUGCUAGUUCAUCUCAAUUCUAUAGUAUACAUGUCUUACUAGAAGAAAGAUAAAAAAAAACUCAAUUUCAACAAAUACAACGAACAUCAUCACAUGACAAAUAAAAAUGAGUUGAAAGCUUGGAUCAAAGCUUUUCCUCUUCCGGUAUGGGUGCCAUUUUGGUUGUCAAACUGGUGCACAAUCUCUCUUGUAUACAAUACAAAAUAGUUUCUUCUAGAUGGUAAAGUGGUUUAAUGCUUGGAGAACAUCAUAAUAGUUGGGGAAGGUUUUGCGAGGAUAACUCACUACAAAAAACGGGUCUAAUAGCAGAGGUUUAUUUGUGGGAGUUAUUUUAACCCUUACGAAUUUAUAUUAAAUGCAGGGGUUAAAAUAGUGCCGUUAAAAAUUAUGUAUUUGUGAAGGUUUUAACCCCGCUAUCCGUCCAUAAAAAAAUAGCGCCAAAUGAAAUAAUAUUUCCGUUCUUGUUUUCCUUAUGCCAAACACAUUUCCCUCUCUCAUGUUUUUUCCCCAAUAUCCCUCAAAACAUUUCUUUCUCAUUUUUUCCCAAUUAGAGUUGAUAGGGUGUUCUUCCUUGGCCAUUGAUUAGACAGUGAGAGGUACUCCGGCACAGUUGAUAGGAACUCCGGCCAUUGCGACACGUCUCUGGUCGGCCAUUGUCUUCCCAGCUCUUAGAUAAUUGUUUUUAAAUCAUAGUGUUUGUUUCAGAAGUGGCGCCGCCGUGAAAAGUCAUCACCGGAAGGAUUUUUCGGUGAUGAUAUCUAACCCGCUUGAAGAUUUGGGUUAUUCAUUUCCCAAAUGAUUGUAUGUUGUACUGGGAGUAUUUUUGUUGUUUCUUGAACUUGAUAGUUAGGUUUAUCUACUUUGAGUUUUGCUGUUAAAGUUUCUGUUUUUGGUAUUUUCUUAUUUAGGGAAAUUGAUUUGAAGUGAUCUGAAUUGAAGCAGAAAUGGGGUUGAUUUCUGGACUACACACAACACAUAUAAAAGGUCCACAUGAGUGCUCCUCAUAGUUAAAUUUAUUGACUUGUUGGUGUCAAUCCCAGCAGAAGGUCAUCCCAACUCUUUCGUGUACUUAAUGAUUCAGCGGACAAAGUUGCAAGGCAAGUUUAUGGGCUUACUGAUCCUGUACAAUCCCAAACACAUGGUACCAACCUAGCCAGAAACAGGAGCACACCUCCUCGUUACUAGAUUUCUCAAGAGUUUCAUUGCGACAGGAUGCAUAAUGUUUCGAUGGAAGAACAAAGUGGUGAUACACCUUAUAUAUGACUGUGAGAUCAGACUGAUGGCGAAUCCUCAAAGGCAAAAGGAAAAGGUUUACAUAGGUUGUGGUGCUGGGUUUGGAGGUAAUCAACCAGUAGCAGCGUUAAAGCUACUUCAGAGGGUGAAAGAGUUGGAUUAUCUAGUGCUGGAAUGUUUAGCAGAGCGCACCCUAGCUGACCGCUAUCAGGCCAUGAAAUCUGGCGGCAAGGGCUACGAUCCCUGUAGUAUGUUUUUUCUUAUUAAGUUGUUACUUUUGUUAGUCCAAGUGCCUUUAUCUGGGUUUUUUUCCGUCAGUAUGCUAUAAAUGUGAUAAUUUGUUUGUUUGGUGAUAACUAAAACUACUAGUGUUGUACAGUACCGUUGGCUAUGGAGAAUGGAUUUUGCAUUAUUACAAACAUGGGUGCGAGUAUGUGAUAUGCCUAAAUUUCCCUCCUCUAUGUUUGUAGCUCUUUUUUGGUUAUGGAUUUUGCUUCAAGUUGUUGUUGUCAGAUCAGGUGAAGUUCGAAUAUGAAAGAUAAAAUAAACUGAUGUACUAAUUGCCUUUGUAAUGACUGUCAUCUCCUUAUUCUUCCUAUGAGAUGGAAAACCAUAUCAUACUUAUUGAAUACUUUUGGGAUACAUUCAGAUUGGGAUGAGCACCUUAAACAUGUUGAUGUAAGAUUUAGUAAUAUACAGUAUUUUCAAUGGUAUAUGUCAGUAUCAUUUAUUUCAUCAAGUACAGAAUUUAUGCGGUGCAAGUCUUGUUUCUUAUUUUUCUAAUGCUUCAAUGUGGGUAUUUUGUUGAGGGUUAAGGUCUCGUACACACUACCGUCUCGGUAUCUUAUUGAGGGUUAAGGUCCCGUACACACUACCCUCUCGGUAUCUUGUUGUUGAACAAAUGAUUGUUUCAGUGAAUGCUCAAAUUUGCUUACUUCUUUGUUAUUACAGAGGUGAUAACUUCAGCUGAAUUUUACCCUAUUUAUUGUAACAUUUUGGCUUAUAGCAGUUCAACAGGGUCAAUACAUUUGGUAGAUAUAUGGCAGUCAGUAUUGUGCGACUCGCACUCUAAACUGUUUGAAGAACAGAAAACUCCUGGCUCAAGAUUCUUUUUUACCGAGAUAAUUGCUUUAAUUUCAGAUAUAAAAUUUGCAAAGACUGGAAGAUACAUACUUAGUCGUGACUAUAUGACCCUUAAGGUUGGUCCUUCACUCUUUUCUCUGGGGCUAAUCCUUUUCAGUUGACUCAUAUGAGAGAUGUGCAAAUUGCGUAUCACGACAUACUAUCUCGUUAAAAUUACUUUUAGUCUGCAGCCAACAUAAUAACCAUACACUCAUUUGGUGGUUACUUUGUGGUACAGGUUAGCUUCAUUUUUUAUUUUUCAUUAAUCUGAAAUGAUUUUUAGUAAAUACUCAUACUUCGAUUGCUGUGUGUAUGUGUGUAGAUAAAGGUUUCUAUUGAGUUCUCGCCUGUCUGGCUUCUAUACAGCCAGUGAUUGAUUGGGUUUUUUUGUUCAAACAGAGCACCAGAACUUCUAUUGGGAGCCGAACAAUAUUCUACUGUGAUUGACACGUGGUCACUGGGUUGCAUCAUUGUCGAGAUGCUAUCCAAAGAACCACUCUUCAAUGGGAAAACAGAAGUUGAUCAAAUCGAUAAGAUAUUCAGAAUUCUUGGCACUCCAAAUGAGACGAUUUGGGAAGGGUUCUCCGAGCUUCCUGGGGUGAAAGUCAACUUUGUAAAGCACCCCCAAGUGAUGUGGCUAGUGGACCCAUUUCGCCCAUAGAUGCAAGGAGAUCACGUGAUGAUAAUGAUCCUAAUGAUAUUCUUUGAUUUCGUUGCAUUUGUCUUGGAUAUUCAAUUAUGAUGGUGUAAUUGUGUGGUUUGAGUGAAUCUUAGAAUAUUGAAGAUUUUGUGUUUAAAAUUGAUUUUGUAGUUUGAAGAUACUAGUCAAUGUUGAAAAUUUGGAGUUUGAAGAUGUUAAUUUUGAAAAUUUAAUUUUGAAGUUUAA